GAGAAGAAGAGAGGGGGCGAUCUCUAACUGUUGAACGGAGGAGAGCGAAGGGGGCCCCGCCUCCGUGCUCAGCCUGCUGCGUGCCCCGCCGCGCCUCGCCGCCAGUGCUGCCAUUGUCACCAUUGAUGGAGGAGAAGGGGGAGAGCGCUUGCGAGGAGCUGCUGCAGAAGCCACCGCCGUGCAUCCUCAUGCCGUCGCUGGAGAUCUGGCCGUCGUCGCCGAUCAUCCUUGCGCCGCAUCGGAGACAGAACUGUGAAAUGAAGGGAGCGUGACCCACAGCCACCAACGGAGAAGAAAGAGCGCGCAGGAAAGUGAAGCCGCCGCUGUCACCGUCGCGUGUGGAGCCGCCGCCGCGCUUGACCUCCGUUGCUGUUGCACUUCGACUGCCACCAUUCUUUCCGCCGUCAAGCCGCGUCGGAAGGAAAGCGCCGCCGCCGUGCCGUGUUAGAACUUCUGGAGCCGCGUUGGAGCUCGCUGCAAAAAGAGGAUGAGGCUAGGACUAGCGCCAUUGUGCCUAAGCUGUUGCUGUCGAUUUGGAGUUGCUGCGCAAUGGGGCCACUAGGAGAGUAUUUCUGCUGUUGAACCAUGGGCUCUGCGGCCGAGACUCUGCCGCCGAAGAACACUCUUCCGGUAAGGGUUUUUAUUUGAGGUUUCUGUCCUUUUUGAAUUCUGAGAAUACCAUAGUCACUGCGUGUUGGUUUCAAUUGGCGUGAUCGGAAAUUGUCGUCGCUGCCGCUUGAGGUGGCUGCCGGGCUACCGUUGAACCGGUUCAGAGACCGCCACUAUUCCGGUUCAGCUGUUCCUUCUUCAUUCGUGUUGCUGUGGUUACCGCGGGAGUGGCUUGGAGCCAAGGUUGCGUUGUUGGUGAUCUCGGUUUAAGAAAGGAGGUUCCU